rnacentral:rRNA from 1 species
AUGCCUCUGGUGGUGCUUGGACAUGGGUGGGAGCGGUGGCGGCGGUUUCGUCAAGUGCACUGCCGUGUCGUGGGUGACGGCGCCGUGGGCAGGAGUGCAGGACCUACAUACUCAUUACCGUCGGCGGAAGCGCCGCAGGGUCGAGAGCCCGGCGGAGCCCGAAGAGCACGACUGUCAACCUUGAGUACACCAUCAUAUCGCCACAACAGAGAUAACCAUCGAGGCAUCGACCGGGCGACGCUUCCAGAUAUAGAGCGUGUUUGCAUGGUUGUCCGCGGCGACGAAGGCGGCGUCGACGCCAAGAUCAGGUGUCAAGCCGGCGACCAUGGGACGGUGAGGCAUCUGACGGGCGCCCGGGCACGCUGGCACAUGCCUUCUUGCCGACCGACAGACGGCGGUUCCACGCCGGGAUGCCUCAGAGACGUGGAUGUCCGGCGGCGACUCAUGUCGCACGCCUCGCUAUACGCGGCCGUCCACAUACCACGUGAAUCAUAA